UCCAGACUCCUACGGGAGGCAGCAGUGGGGAAUAUUGCACAAUGGGGGAAACCCUGAUGCAGCGACGCCGCGUGAGCGAUGAAGUAUUUCGGUAUGUAAAGCUCUCUCAGCAGGGAAGAAGAUGACGGUACCUGACUAAGAAGCCCCGGCUAACUACGUGCCAGCAGCCGCGGUAAUACGUAGGGGGCAAGCGUUAUCCGGAUUUACUGGGUGUAAAGGGAGCGUAGACGGCCAUGCAAGCCUGGAGUGAAAGCCCGGGGCCCAACCCCGGGACUGCUCUGGGAACUGUGCGGCUGGAGUGCGGGAGGGGCAGGCGGAAUUCCUGGUGUAGCGGUGAAAUGCGUAGAUAUCAGGAGGAACACCGGCGGCGAAGGCGGCCUGCUGGACCGCGACUGACGUUGAGGCUCGAAAGCGUGGGGAGCAAACAGGAUUAGAUACCCGGGUAG
rnacentral:rRNA from 1 species